rnacentral:rRNA from 1 species
AGUGAGAGGGNNAGCUCAAAUUUUAAAUCUGUUAGGUUUGCCUAACCGAGUUGUAAUUUGAAGAAGCGUUUUCUGCGAUUUUGGUUAGUCCAAAUCCUUUGGAAUAAGGUAUCAUGGAGGGUGAGAAUCCCGUUCGGUUAACCAAAGCGCUUUACGAUACGCUUUCAAAGAGUCAAGUUGUUUGGGAUUGCAGCUUAAAAUGGGAGGUAAAUUUCUCCUAAGGCUAAAUAUUGGCGAGAGACCGAUAGCGAACAAGUACCGUGAGGGAAAGAUGAAAAGAACUUUGAAAAGAGAGUUAAACAGUACGUGAAAUUGUUGAAAGGGAAACGAUUAAAGUCAGUCGUACCUACGAGUAAUCAACCUACUCGAGUGCGAUUUUGUGGGUAUGUUAGAGMUUAAAAACCUUCAUGCUUACAAAUUGGUGCUCUUUGGGCGUACUUUCUCGUAUGGUAGGUUAACAUCAAUUUCGAUCGUUAUAAAAUGACUGGAGGAAUGUAGCUUCGAUCUCGGUUGAAGUGUUAUAGCCUUUGGUAGAUGUAAUGAUUGGGAUUGAGGAUUGCAACGGAUACCCUCUGGGCUAUUCGUCUGAUCUCUGGAAGUUACCUUGGUGUCGAAAGCGUGCUUACGAUAUUAAGGUUGACGGCCAAUAGGUUGAACGUGAUAAAUCGUAAGGAUG